UAAAUGGUUCAUUCUUUCGUGCCAAUUUUCGAUGACGUGUUCGAGCAUUGUGACCCGAAUCUCACAAAUAAGUCGCUCAAUAUUUGCUUCCAAUGCUGUAAUCGUGGCUGGUUUAUCCAUAUCGACUUUUGCUUUUACGUAGCCCCAAAGAAAAAAGUCCAAAGGUGUGAUAUCACAUGAUCUUGGUGGUCAAUUCACCAGGCCAAAACGUGAAAUUAAUUGCUCACCAAAAUGAUGUCCCAAUAAGUCCAUUGUUAAGCGCGCUGUGUGGCACCUACUUGUUGAAACCAAAUAUCGUGUGAUUCAAUUUGAGGUACCAAAAAGUAUGUUACCAUGGCGCAAUAACGUUCGCCUUUGGCGGUAACGUAUUCUUCACGAUCUUCGGCUACACCCUCGGCUAUAGCUGCAAUAUUUUCUACGCUGCGAGCUGUACGUGGUGAACCAGACGACGGGACAUCCCAACAACUUGCUGCCCCUUCAAAUUUUUCGAUUAUUUCUGCGAAUUGUGGAUUUUGAAGGUCGAUUAUGUGGACCAUAAGUUGGGUGUAAUUUGCGAAAAACUUCUUUCACAGAACGCAGAUUUUCAUAGUACGAUUCAACAAUUUUUACACGUUGUUGUGGCGUAUAUCUUUCCAUGAAGAAUUGUAAAACAAUACUGAGUAAAAAUGACGUAUAAAUUUGACAGAACUCGCGCGCGCAUGUAAAAAAAUCUCUACAGGAAAAACCACUCGUUUUGAAUCACCCUUUACACGCUUAAGUGACUUUAAUUUUAAAAACAAACGCAAUAUAACAUGAAAUACUCAUACCCAUCUGUAAGAUAUAGGCGGAGGGAGAAUGGGGCAAGUGCCUUGUUUAAUUAAAUUCGUAUGUAAACACACCACCAGUGAGUAGCUCCACAUAGUGGAAAAAUAAUAAACCUCCCUGAAUAAUAAUUAUGAUUAUCCGGCCAAAGAAUACUAGCUACUAGCUAGAGAAAGACUUAAGAUGAAGUUGAGUCACCUGUUGAUAUAAGUCCUUUAAAUUUAUUAAUCAUUGUUAUCACUUAUUUAAGACUUUAUGAAAGUGAUUUUAAUUUUUAUUAAGUGAUAGUUAAAUUAAAAGUAUUCUUGACUCCAAGUUGUUUUGCAAAGAUGAGUUGAACAACCCAAGAAGUUGAUUUCAAGAAUCUAUUCUUUUCAAGAAAUAAGAAAAUCAAUUUACAAGGUUAGACAACAAGAAAAUUUCCAUUUUUCUUAAAAAAAAAGCGUUUAGACGAGUAUGGACUUCCUCUCCUUAUUUCGAUGCUAAUGUCAAAUAAAUUCAAUCUUCGGAAUCUGUUUCUUUAGUGAGCAAGGACUGACUCACCAAGAUAAUGAAGAGCUAUUCUCCAUUUGGAUCAGGAUCUUUCAAGAUAAUAGUUGAAUAAAACGAAUACAGUCCAUUCAUGAAUUACUUAUUCUCAUGAAGCUGAAAAAAGGGACCAACAUUUCUUCUCAUGAAAGUCGAUAUAAUUUUUAUUCAACAUUUAUUAAGAAUUUAUCUUCAUACAAUUGAUAGAAAUCUAAAUACAAGUAUGUUUUUGGAGAUCAAUCCACUGGUUGUGGCUAAUACCAAACUAUUUGAUAUAAGUGUAUUUCAUCCCUUGUUUGAAUAUUAUAAUAUUAGUUGAUAAAGAGUUGCCUACCCCUGCUAUAGAUUAUAUAUACUUACUAAAAUAAAUAAAUACUCUUUUUGCUUCAGAUUCGAAAUACAUUUUUUAUUAGAACAAA
rnacentral:lncRNA from 1 species